rnacentral:rRNA from 1 species
CGAUGAACCCACUUCGGUGGGGGAUUAGUGGCGAACGGGUGAGUAACACGUGGGCAAUCUGCCCUGCACUCUGGGACAAGCCCUGGAAACGGGGUCUAAUACCGGAUACGACCACUUCAGGCAUCUGAUGGUGGUGGAAAGCUCCGGCGGUGCAGGAUGAGCCCGCGGCCUAUCAGCUUGUUGGUGAGGUAACGGCUCACCAAGGCGACGACGGGUAGCCGGCCUGAGAGGGCGACCGGCCACACUGGGACUGAGACACGGCCCAGACUCCUACGGGAGGCAGCAGUGGGGAAUAUUGCACAAUGGGCGAAAGCCUGAUGCAGCGACGCCGCGUGAGGGAUGACGGCCUUCGGGUUGUAAACCUCUUUCAGCAGGGAAGAAGCGAAAGUGACGGUACCUGCAGAAGAAGCGCCGGCUAACUACGUGCCAGCAGCCGCGGUAAUACGUAGGGCGCAAGCGUUGUCCGGAAUUAUUGGGCGUAAAGAGCUCGUAGGCGGCUUGUCGCGUCGGAUGUGAAAGCCCGGGGCUUAACCCCGGGUCUGCAUUCGAUACGGGCAGGCUAGAGUUCGGUAGGGGAGAUCGGAAUUCCUGGUGUAGCGGUGAAAUGCGCAGAUAUCAGGAGGAACACCGGUGGCGAAGGCGGAUCUCUGGGCCGAUACUGACGCUGAGGAGCGAAAGCGUGGGGAGCGAACAGGAUUAGAUACCCUGGUAGUCCACGCCGUAAACGUUGGGAACUAGGUGUGGGCGACAUUCCACGUCGU